AUGCACUGGAAUGUUGUUAACAAGGUUCAGAGCUACUUGAACUGUGGUAUCCAUUCUACAUCACAGGUUUAUGUUUCACUGUUAGCAAAUGUGUCUGUCGGUAUUUCUUUCCUUGCCAAGAUGGGAGUUUACCUCAGUACUCCAAAGACCGAUAAGCUAUCCGAAGACGGGGAAAAUGAUAAACUCAAAUUUGGUCUUUCAUCUAUGCAAGGAUGGCGUGCAAGCAUGGAAGAUGCUCAUUCAGCAUUGCUAGAUCUUGACAAUGAGACGGCAUUCUUCGGUGUUUUUGAUGGCCAUGGAGGAAGGGUGGUUGCCAAAUUCUGUGCAAAAUAUCUACACUCUCAAGUUCUCAAAAGUGAAGCAUAUUCUUCUGGUGAUCUAGGAACUGCUGUUCAUAAAGCUUUCUUUAGAAUGGAUGAAAUGAUGCGAGGACAGAGAGGUUGGAGAGAACUAUCUGCACUAGGAGAUAAGAUGAACAAGUUCAGUGGCAUGAUAGAAGGGUUGAUUUGGUCUCCGAGAGGCAGUGAUUCGAAGAAUGCAGAAGAUGACUGGGCUCUAGAGGAGGGACCCCACUCUGACUUUGAUGGGCCAACAUGUGGAAGUACAGCAUGCGUAGCACUAGUAAGGAAUAACCAACUUGUCGUGGCAAACGCUGGUGAUUCCCGGUGUGUUAUUUCUAGGGCUGGCCAGGCAUACAAUUUGUCCAGAGACCACAAGCCAGAGCUUGUAGCUGAGAGAGAAAGAAUACUAAAAGCAGGCGGGUUCAUACGCAUGGGGCGGAUAAAUGGAAGUUUGAACUUAGCGAGAGCGAUUGGAGAUAUGGAAUUUAAGCAGAACAAAUUCUUGCCUCCUGAGAAGCAAAUAGUGACUUCAAAUCCUGACAUCAAUGUUGUGGAACUUUGCAAUGAGGAUGACUUUCUUGUUUUAGCAUGUGAUGGCAUUUGGGACUGUAUGUCAAGCCAGCAGUUGGUGGAUUUCAUCCAUGAGCAUAUACACACGGAGAGCAGCCUUUCUGCAGUGUGUGAAAGAGUGCUCGACAGAUGCCUGGCUCCAUCAACAAUGGGUGGAGACGGAUGCGACAACAUGACCAUGAUCUUGGUGCAGUUCAAAAAACCAGUCAGUGACAAGAAAAAGGCUGACGUGGGGGAGCAAUCUGCGAAAGGCAAGGAAGAGUCUUGA
rnacentral:rRNA from 1 species